AAAAUGAUGAUUGUAGAAUGAAUGUCUCUUCUUUUACUUUGUUUUUGUUUCAGCUGCUGCCCCCAAAUCGCAAAAGAAGGUUAAAUCAGAAGAGCUCUCAGAUCUAAUGCCUAAAGCUAAGGCAAUACGUAACUUUGAGCCAGCUUCAUCCCUUGAAAUGAGAGUACAGACUGGUGAUAUGAUUAUCUUAUUAUCUCACGAAGC